UACGUAGGCAGCAAGCGUUGUUCGGAGUUACUGGGCGUAAAGGGUGUGUAGGCGGUCCUCUAAGUUUGGUGUGAAAUCUCCCGGCUCAACUGGGAGGGUGCGCCGAAAACUGGAGGGCUAGAGUACUGGAUGGGAGAGUGGAAUUCCUGGUGUAGCGGUGAAAUGCGUAGAUAUCAGGAGGAACACCUGUGGUGUAGACGGCUCUCUGGACAGUAACUGACGCUGAGGCACGAAAGCGUGGGGAGCAAACAGG
rnacentral:rRNA from 1 species